UUUUCAAUACUGAACUGAUUUGUGCUUUUGCCUUGCCAAUGUGCUCAGGUGAGCGAUGCCGCCCAUGGGCCUCUUGUUUAUUUUUAUUUCCAAGAUGAUUGGGGACAGAUUUGUUUUUCUUCACUGGAAAAAAAGUUUGAGAAGGUGGUACAUAUUGAAACUGUUUGCAUGUUGUUUGCUGGUCUGAUAAAACUCAAUCCUUUAUUUUACUAGUGCUUUAUAGUUAGAAUAUUGGUCAGGCAGCAUGGGCAUUUCUCUUGAUAAGUCCGGUUUCCGUGUAAGAUUUUCCGGUUAAAAACUUAUUUUCCAAUCAACCAUAAUUAAAUUUUGUUUAUGCCUGUAUAUAUUUAUUUGAUCUAUUUUUUUUCAGCCAACUUGAUGGUACAUUCUGGUAUGGGACCAUCCCAUGUAGUAAAUUUUCUCAGUACCUUUAACACCACAUGGUGUCACCACAUUGAAGAAAAAGAGAUGUCGGCCUCUAUUGUGGAACCAGGCCAAGGAAUCUUGUUGGAUAGAUAGAGACGAAGAAUGCUAAACCGGACCAGUUGGAAUGUAGAUUUGAUGCUGGAUAGCAGACCAAGGGGUCUUGCUGUUAGUAUAAAAGUGAUACUGAUAAUUUUAACAAGUAAGGUCUAUAAGAUAUAUGAAUGUGAGGUCCAGACCAUUCAUGCUGAUAAUGAUUCAACUACUGCAGCUCCACUCAAGAAUGACUUUCCAUCUCUUCCAAAAAAGCAGGACAAGAAUCACUUGAUGAAACUGAACUAACAUAUACUACUUUUCUUGUCAAUUUCAUAUUAUCUCUUGUUUGAGUGUUACAUCUGAAGUGGUAACAGACACUCCACAUAUAGACUUUUAUUAGCUCACCUGAGCCAAAGGCUCAAGUGAGCUUUUCUGAUCACAUUUUGUCUGGCGUCCGUCUGUCUGUCUGUCUGUAAACUUUUCACAUUUUCGACUUCUUCUCAAGCACCACUGGACCAAUUUCAACCAAACUUGCCACAAAGUAUCCCUGGGUGAAGGGGAUUCAAGUUUAUCAAAUGAAGGGCCACGCCCUCUUUCAAGGGGAGAUAAUUAAGAAUUAGUGAAAUGAAUAGCAUCUUUAAAAAAUCUUCUUCUCAAGAACCACAGGGCCAAGAAAAAUGAAACUCAUGUGGAAACAUCCUCAGGUAGAAUAGAUUCAAGUUUGUUUAGAUCAUGACCCCCGGGGUAGGACAGGGCCACAAUGGAGGAUCAAAGUUAUACAUAGAAACAUAUAGGAAAAAUCUUCUUCUUAAGAAUAGCAAACCCAUGAUAAGUCAUAUUUAUAUGGAAGCAUUCUCAGGUAGUAUAGAUUCAAGUAUGUUCAAAUCAUGACCCCCGGGGGUAGGGAGGGACCACAAUGGAGAAUAAAAGUUUUACAUAGAAAUAUAUAGGAAAAAUCUUUAAAAAUUUUCUUCUCAAGAACAGCAAAGCCAUGAUGAGUCAUAUUUAUAUGGAAGCAUCCUCGGGUAGUGUAGAUUCAAGUUUGUUCAAAUGAUGACCCCUGGAAUAGGGAGGAGCCACAAUGGGGGAUCAAAUUUUUACAAAGGAAUAAAUGGCAAUUUUUUUAAAAAAAUCUUCUCAUGUAAAACAGAGCCAUUUGUUAUAUUGACAUGGAAGCAUCAUCAGGUAGUUUAAAAUUCAAGCCCCCUCCCCCCCUUAAUCUUUUCAAUACUGAACUGAUUUGUGCUUUUGCCUAGCAAUUGUGCUCAGGUGAGCGAUGUGGCCCAUGGGCCUCUUGUUUACCUACAAGUUUAUCCAAAAUUUAGAAGAUACAAGUAGAUCAUCCACCAUGAUACUGUGGUAUCAUAUUUAGUGCAGUAUGUCCUUAAAUUUGUAUGCAUGAUACACUAAGGGUUAAACAUUUAUUAAUUUAAACCUAUCUAACAACUAUCUUGACUAAUGAGGGAUUCCAAUCUACUCCUCUAUGAAAUAAAGGAGGAGGGAUCGGAUCCCUUGCCUGCUAAAGAUUUGUUAUUUCCCUUGUAGAGAUUUGUUAUUUCUUAUUUCCCAGGUAAAGAUUUGUUAUUUCCCUGGUAAAGAAUUGUUAUUUCCCCGGUAAA